AUCCAUUUCCCAACUUCAUUUCCCGCGAAAGUUCGAAGCCGAAAUCUUGGCGCCAACACUCGCAGCCGCAGAGCCUCCGCUCUCAGAUUAUGCGAUGCGCAUCCAAAAAUCGGCGGUGUGGGCUUUGGGAAUUGGGGCCAUGUUUUUGUGGAACUCGAAUUGCAGAACCUGCUAGCCCUUAGAGUAUGAAAAGUCAGCAGUCAUCACCUAUACAAUGCAUUUAUUGGAUUGAUUCAAUAAUACCUUUAGUUUAAAGCAGAAGUUGCUAGGGCAACCUGAGCUUUCCUCUUAUUGAGCGGGUGAUGCAAUUUGAUGCAAUUUAAUUUGUACUUUGGUAUUUACCAAUGACAACGAUCGUGUAGAGGAAUAUGGUAUGAUAGACCUAGAAUUUUCUACUUGUUAGAAUGACAGAAAGGAAGAGAAGUUGGACUUCUCUUUGAAUGAAACAGAAUUUCAGGGUUGGUUUA